GCCCAGGUGGUGAAAUUGGUAGACACGCUAGCUUCAGGUGUUAGUGAUCGUAAGGUCGUGGAGGUUCAAGUCCUCUCCUGGGCACCA
rnacentral:tRNA from 1 species